GACGAACGCUGGCGGCGUGCUUAACACAUGCAAGUCGAACGGAAAGGCCCUGCUUUUGUGGGGUGCUCGAGUGGCGAACGGGUGAGUAACACGUGAGUAACCUGCCCUUGACUUUGGGAUAACUUCAGGAAACUGGGGCUAAUACCGGAUAGGAGCUCCUGCUGCAUGGUGGGGGUUGGAAAGUUUCGGCGGUUGGGGAUGGACUCGCGGCUUAUCAGCUUGUUGGUGGGGUAGUGGCUUACCAAGGCUUUGACGGGUAGCCGGCCUGGGAGGGUGACCGGCCACAUUGGGACUGCGAUACGGACCAGACUCCUACGGGAGGCAGCAGUGGGGAAUAUUGCACAAUGGGCGGAAGCCUGAUGCAGCAACGCCGCGUGCGGGAUGACGGCCUUCGGGUUGUAAACCGCUUUCGCCUGUGACGAAGCGUGAGUGACGGUAAUGGGUAAAGAAGCACCGGCUAACUACGUG
rnacentral:rRNA from 1 species